AGUGGCGGACGGGUGAGUAACGCGUGGGUAACCUGCCUCAUACAGGGGGAUAACAGUUAGAAAUGACUGCUAAUACCGCAUAAGACCACAGCACCGCAUGGUGCAGGGGCAAAAACUCCGGUGGUAUGAGAUGGACCCGCGUCUGAUUAGGUAGUUGGUGGGGUAACGGCCUACCAAGCCGACGAUGGAUAGGGGUUCUGAGAGGAAGGUCCCCCACAUUGGUACUGAGACACGGACCAA
rnacentral:rRNA from 1 species